rnacentral:rRNA from 1 species
GACAGAGGGUGCAAACGUUGUUCGGAAUUACUGGGCGUAAAGCGCGUGUAGGCGGCCCUGCAAGUCGGAUGUGAAAUCCCACGGCUCAACCGUGGAAGUGCAUUCGAAACUGCAGGGCUAGAGUCCUGGAGAGGAAGGUGGAAUGCUUGGUGUAGAGGUGAAAUUCGUAGAUAUCAAGCGGAACACCGGUGGCGAAGGCGGCCUUCUGGACAGUGACUGACGGCUGAGACGCGAAAGCG